rnacentral:rRNA from 1 species
GGGAGCUUGCUCCCUGAUGUUAGCGGCGGACGGGUGAGUAACACGUGGGUAACCUGCCUGUAAGACUGGGAUAACUCCGGGAAACCGGGGCUAAUACCGGAUGCUUGUUUGAACCGCAGGGUUCAGACAUAAAAGGUGGCUUCGGCUACCACUUACAGAUGGACCCGCGGCGCAUUAGCUAGUUGGUGAGGUAACGGCUCACCAAGGCAACGAUGCGUAGCCGACCUGAGAGGGUGAUCGGCCACACUGGGACUGAGACACGGCCCAGACUCCUACGGGAGGCAGCAGUAGGGAAUCUUCCGCAAUGGACGAAAGUCUGACGGAGCAACGCCGCGUGAGUGAUGAAGGUUUUCGGAUCGUAAAGCUCUGUUGUUAGGGAAGAACAAGUGCCGUUCAAAUAGGGCGGCACCUUGACGGUACCUAACCAGAAAGCCACGGCUAACUACGUGCCAGCAGCCGCGGUAAUACGUAGGUGGCAAGCGUUGUCCGGAAUUAUUGGGCGUAAAGGGCUCGCAGGCGGUUUCUUAAGUCUGAUGUGAAAGCCCCCGGCUCAACCGGGGAGGGUCAUUGGAAACUGGGGAACUUGAGUGCAGAAGAGGAGAGUGGAAUUCCACGUGUAGCGGUGAAAUGCGUAGAGAUGUGGAGGA